rnacentral:lncRNA from 1 species
UGAGGGAGGCCAAGCAUACGUCACAUUCACAGCUUUUUGAAGCAUAUUGAGCUUGCCCUUCAUGUGAGGUAAAUGACACUUAAAAAAUAUCUGUUUGGAUCCCGGGAAAAGCUAAAGCUCUGGUGCCUCUGAAUCAUAAAACAGACUUAUUGAAGAGAAAGUAAGAAAGCAAGAAAUAAAAUAAUCCUCCCAAUAAAUCAGCUUUUCUUAACCACUGAGAAUAUUUUCUGGACACCAAUGUGUUUCUACAGAGAUGCCUGCUCAUGCGUCUAUCAAUUUUAUUAUUUAAUUAUAAAUUUUAAAAAAUAUUUUUUAAUAAUAUAUAUAUAUAUAUAUUUCAAAAAUUUUAGAAUCGUAGAGAAGCUAGAAAGGACAAGCAAGGAAGAAAAAACACGAGGAGGAAAAGGGAUGAAGAAAGUGGCGAGUGAUGAGACUGAAAAGAAAAGAAAAAUAGUAGAGAGCAGGAAUAAACCCCAUAGCCAUUUGGCGAGGACAGUGCACCCAUUAUUGUUAUGAGGAAAAAUUGUUUGGGGAUAGGGACUGACUGGUGACCAAGCAUCAAGCAUGCCUGCUGCCACUGUUUGGAUCUUCUUCUAGGGAUAGCUAUCAGUUAGUAUGAAAAUUACCCUGCUCAAUCUCCCAACUCCAUUGUAAUUUUUAAUUGAAAAAUACUUACAGGUUCAUGCAGACUCAUAAUAUAAGUAUACAUCAAAUUUUAUAUAUUUAUAUUAUAAAUUUAUAUGAAUUCAAUCUAAAUACUUAUUUUCAGUAUUUAAAUUUAUAUUAAAUUUCAUGUGGAUAAAACUUGUGGAGAAACUUUAGGGAACUUGCACGAUUGUUUCCCUCCAAGCUGAACGCUCUGCUACCAAUGCAUUUUUACAUCCCUAAGCUUCAAAACAUUAUUAAUUUAUCUAAACCAGUCAUAUACUUGAUUAUAAUAUCUGAAUUUGUUUAAUUUAUAUUUUUAAUUAAUAAUUUAUAUAAAAAAUUAUUUUUUUAUUAAUAGGUUUUGUUUUAAAAUUUUAAUUAUUUUAUUUUAAAAUUAGAAUAUCUAAAAAAUUUAUAAAUAUUAUCAUAGAAUAAUAUAAACAGAUUUUAAUAAUGCUUACCCAGCAUUCAAAUUUUGUAUGUAGCUCAAUUUUUUUUAUGGAUACUAAUUUCUAAAAUAAAAUUCUUUCAGAAAUAUUAGCGUAGCAGUUAGCUGUUAUAAUAUUAAAUAAUUAUUUGGCUGAAUCAAAAUGCUCAACAGCCGAAUAUAGCAUUCAUCUUCUAAGUGAACCUCUACACAAUUAGUUUGUUGUCUCUACUGAAAUUAUAUAGUCUUUAAUUAAUUCUAUAAAAUAAAGUUUUUAUAUUUUUGUAAUACUGAACCAAGCUAGACUAAACAUAAAAUUAGUAAUUGACUUCAGUUAUUUUAAUUAAAUACCAACUACACCAAAUUAUAUUAAAAAUUUAUUUUAAAAAUAAAAAGAAAAUUCCAAAUCACAAUUAUACAAUAAAAAAAGAUCAACCGUGAGGAAAGUGGAAGAAUUGGUGAGGGUGUGGGAGAUUUUAAGCUUGGAAAAGUGAGUGUGGCAGGAGAAGCUUGGUGGGUCUGAAAUUGAAAAUGAGAAUGCUGCAUCUUGAUACACAAUAAUACAAAUAGAUUAAGAAAAUAGAAGUAAAAAUAAAAUGAGAAUUUACGUAGAUAUUCAUAUCAAUAAUGUAUUGAAGAAAAAAUUACUACGGAUUUCUGAAUUUUAAUAAAAUUUAUUAGCUAAUUUUAAAAAUUAUAGAUCUAAUUAAAAUGUUCCUAAUAUUUUUAAAAUGUAACAAUUACAUCUUUAUGUUAAGAAUUUCGGUAAUCAAAAGGUAAAUUUAACGGUAAAAUGAGAGAGAAUACUUUAAAAUUACAAAAUUAAUCUCAGUACUCUUAUAAAAUUAAUCUUAUAUCCAAAUUCAUUCAAAUAUCCAGAUUCAUUCAUUCAUAAAAAUAGCAAUUGCAUCAAAACCAUAUUCAAUAGCAACUGCAUCAAAACCAUAUUCAUUCAUUGAGAUGGAAAGAAGACAUACUUAUCAAAAAGGAGCGGAAGAAACCUUAACAGAGGAAGGAAGCAGAAUGAGCAAUGAGGAGCGAGUUAGGAGAGAAGAGAAUCGUACGGUGGAGCGAGUUAAUAGCAACGAGUCGAGUCGAGCCGAGUCAUCAUCAUCAGAGUUGGUUGCUUUUUCAAUUGAGAUUGUAGCUGUUAAGGCGGUGGCGGUUGCUGAAGAAGCGGAGUCAUCGCUGGGGAAGAGUCAGCGAGUUGUUGUUGAUGGUAGAUUCCUUGCAUCAUCGACACUGUUGUUUCUACGGCUGUGGAUUUGCAUCUCUUUUUGCUCUGUUCAAUCCUCUAUGCGGUAUUUGACUUUUCUUUGCUUUCAUUUGUUGCUUUACUUGCUCUGUUUUAUCGCCGGAAAAUGAAAUCAGAGAACUAUAGUGUGGAAUGAGAGAACCACAGGGAGGGAGAGAGAAUAGUUUAUGCAUUUAGGGAUUAGGUGAUGGUAUUUGAUUUUUCAUGUGUAUUUGACGAAGUAUCUCAACGAUUA